UGCUCAUUGGAACACCAGGUCUUGUGUUUUCUCUUCUGGAUUGCCUAUUUGCUAUGGCCUUGUAUUUUUUCACUGUUGGAAUUACAAUAGACACUACUACUGUAAGGAAAAAUCAGGAGCCCUCUUGAAAGAUGCCCUCUCGCCCUCCUCCUCUAAAGUCUACAUCUGUUUCAUUGGGCUUCCAUUUGGCUGGCAGACAGAUCCAGGCAUCAGCUACUGACUUCAACCUGUGACACAUGGACUUGCUGAAAUCUGAUAUGGACCAAUCCAGCCAAUAUAAAUGCUGUUUCUUCAGCUGGUCAAUGAACCAGAUGCUUCUAAAUCCC